rnacentral:rRNA from 1 species
AUUGAACGCUGGCGGCAGGCUUAACACAUGCAAGUCGAGCGGGGUGAUGGUGCUUGCACUAUCACUUAGCGGCGGACGGGUGAGUAAUGCUUAGGAAUCUGCCUAUUAGUGGGGGACAACAUCUCGAAAGGGAUGCUAAUACCGCAUACGUCCUACGGGGGAAAGCAGGGGAUCACUUGUGACCUUGCGCUAAUAGAUGAGCCUAAGUCGGAUUAGCUAGUUGGUGGGGUAAAGGCCUACCAAGGCGACGAUCUGUAGCGGGUCUGAGAGGAUGAUCCGCCACACUGGGACUGAGACACGGCCCAGACUCCUACGGGAGGCAGCAGUGGGGAAUAUUGGACAAUGGGGGGAACCCUGAUCCAGCCAUGCCGCGUGUGUGAAGAAGGCCUUAUGGUUGUAAAGCACUUUAAGCGAGGAGGAGGCUCUUUUGGUUAAUACCCAAGAUGAGUGGACGUUACUCGCAGAAUAAGCACCGGCUAACUCUGUGCCAGCAGCUGCCGUAA